GAUGAACGCUGGCGGCGUGCCUAAUACAUGCAAGUCGAGCGAACAGACGAGGAGCUUGCUCCUCUGACGUUAGCGGCGGACGGGUGAGUAACACGUGGAUAACCUACCUAUAAGACUGGGAUAACUUCGGGAAACCGGAGCUAAUACCGGAUAAUAUAUUGAACCGCAUGGUUCAAUAGUGAAAGACGGUUUUGCUGUCACUUAUAGAUGGAUCCGCGCCGCAUUAGCUAGUUGGUAAGGUAACGGCUUACCAAGGCAACGAUGCGUAGCCGACCUGAGAGGGGGAUCGGCCACACUGGAACUGAGACACGGUCCAGACUCCUACGGGAGGCAGCAGUAGGGAAUCUUCCGCAAUGGGCGAAAGCCUGACGGAGCAACGCCGCGUGAGUGAUGAAGGUCUUCGGAUCGGAAAACUCUGUUAUUAGGGAAGAACAAAUGUGUAAGUAACUAUGCACGUCUUGACGGUACCUAAUCAGAAAGCCACGGCUAACUACGUG
rnacentral:rRNA from 1 species